AUCCCGAUUUUAUUAAUAAGUCAUUUAUUAAUUUAUUUGUGUUUAUUUAAUUAUGUGGCGUAUAACUUUCGUAAGUUAGUAUUUAUGAGUUUUAACCGAUUUUAAUUAAUUAGUGAGUUUAUGUGAAUUGGGCCUAAAGGGUGAUGAGAUGAGUAGAAUGAGGGGGUGCUAAUUGGAAAACAAACCCUUUGUAUUAAGCAAACUUUAUCUAUUAAAUAAAAAACCAUUUAUCACAAAAAAGAAAAAAAAAACAAGAAGAAAAGAAUAGAAAAGAGGUAGAACGAGGAAGAGAAAAGAGAAAAAGAAAGAAAAAGAACAAACUUAGAGAAGGAGAAAAAUCAAGAGAAGGACCAAAGAUUCCAACUAUUGUUAAGAUCCUCAGGUUGUGUAUGUUUGUCGGUGUUCGAGUUGUUGGUGAAGCUCCCCUCUGAUUGUGACACGGAAAAAGGGUUCAUAGAGUCUUUUACUGUUGUUGUCUUAUUUAAUUUAAAGAUGUAUUAGGAAAAAUAUUUUUGUAUAAGUGAUGUUUUACUAAUUAAUUUAAUUAGUAUUGUUUUAACGAAGAAUGUAACACCUUGAACCAAUAUUUUAUAAAUUCAUUUCGACUUAGAGUCUUAAAGUUAUAUUUUUUAUCCGUUGCGUAGUUUUUGAAAAAGCAUUCUUUUAUUAAGAUAAAUUGAAUAUUGGGUUAGGGUGUUACAAAUUGGUAUCAGAGCCCCGUUGUCUUCGGACUGUGUGGGUUAUGUGUCAGUCAGAGCAGGUCUGUGCAGUCAGACCGAGUGAGCGCGGUGUCAGUCGUGUCUGUGUAACUGUUAUGAUUUCGUGUGAUUUAAUUUUUGUAGUUACACUUGCACAUUAGUCACUAUUUAAUUAUUUUUCAAAUGUGUGAUUUGUUUCAUGAAUUUCAUUGCUAGUUCUUUGUUAACGAGUAGUUUUAUUUGAUUCAUGAGACUUGUGCUUUUAAUUGGUAUUGACUUUAGAAUUUAUAAUUCUUACUUAAUGAUUGAAUAUUAAAAUGAUGAUAGUUUAUGUGAUAACUUGUUAAUACUUGAAUGAUAAAUGAUGUUUUGCACUAGUUGCUUGAAUAUGAGAUUUCUUGUCUUCUUGUAAUUAUUGUGAGUAAACUAGAUGUGAAGUUGGUAAUCAUUUUGUUAUUAAUUGAACUUGUGUAGGAUGUUGAAAUUUAUUUUUCUAUUUAGAAUCAAGCAUAACUUUGAAUAUGGUAAUGGAAUUAAUAGUUAAAUUAAUUAUAUGUGGUAGAGUUUAUUUGAAUUCUUAUGAAUGUAUACAUGGGCAUCUUUUGUGUAGUUCUUUCUGACGUAAAAUAAUUUUAGAACUAGUAUUAGUUCUUGAUGAUGUGAAUCUUAUUGGAAAUAUAAUUGUUUUCUUUUGAGUAAGUGAAACAUAAUUUUAUAAAGUAAGAAGAGUAAAAUAACUAGUGGUGAAGUUAAGUGGAUUCUAGGAUAUAUUUGACAUAUGUUUUAUUUUAUAUAUGACAUGCGCUAAAUUAUUCAAAUGAAAGUUGAUUUGUCCUUUUUGUUAUCUGUGAGUUAUAGGGAGUAACUAAACUAUUUUCUUUAAGGGUGUAUUUGGUAAAUGUGAUGUACAAGUUUUGAUUGUUUUAUUUUACUAUGUUAAUUAUCAUGUUAAGUUAAUGAUUUUCUUGCAUGAUAUGUUUAUGUGAAUAUGAAUUGUUGAAUUUUUAAAAUAUGUUGCUAUGAAAUAUUUAUCUUUUCUUGUUUUGAUUUGAUUUGAUUUGAUUUAAUUCUUAAUUUUUCGAAUUAAGGGAAGAUAUAUGUUACUUGAAUGUCUAUCUGAAAUGUUUUGCUUUUGUGCAAUUUUAUAUAGAUGUUCAUGUUUUGUAUUUCGUAGUUUAGUCAUUGUAUGCGACAUGUGUGUAAACACUGUCGAUACUAGUUUCUUUCAUGAGAUCUAGUUAGAGAACCGUAGAAGUCUCCAGUUAUGUAUGAGAGGAGAAUUACAAUAGGAGUUAUAGGUGAGUUUGAGAUAAGUGGGGGAGAAGGUUAAAUUCCUUUGAGAUGUUUAAGUGUAGAAGAAUAAGAUGGAUAGAGAUGUCCGAAGGAGAGCGUUCAUGUGUUGGUGUUGUCCAUUUCGGAGUUAGAUGAUUUGGAAGAGAGUUAGAAGACUGCUAGAGAAGAAGUUUGUCAGAUCGAUUGUUUUGCCAUGAAGAGCGCCAAUGUUGUUAAGUAAGAAGAGAGGAUGAAUUAUGAGAAAAUCGGCGGAGAUUAGUAAGAUCAAAUUCAUUAUGUUUGAAAUAAUGAAGAAAGGUGUAGAGUAAAGUGUAGUAUGUGAUGAGAAAAUAAAGGAUUUCGAAUAUUGUAAUCGUGAGUAGUUGAACAAUAUUGAAGUAUUGCAACUUAAGAGAUGUUUGGAUAUAAGUAUCUCGACAAAAGAAGUGAUAUUGGAAACUGUGAUGAAAGAUGGACGUGAAGUAAUGAUUUGGAAACAGGGUAAUGGUGUUGGAGUUUGACUUAAGAAAUUGAGUUUGGUGUGAAAGGAAUAAUUGUGUCGUUAAUGACGUAGUUUCGAUGUUCAUUAAUGGGAUUUAGAACUAUAUGUUGUGCUGAAAAACUUAAGACUGUGGUUUGGAUAAGAAUUGAACAUGGACGUAUUCAGAUUAAAAGGAACUAAGAGACUAAAAGGAAAAAGAAGGAACCUGUGAAAACUUGUAAAGUUGUGAAGUUAUCAACAGAGAUGAGAUUUUUUCGGAGUACGUGAAAUGGAUUGAGUGGUACUUGUUGUGGAAUGUUACUUUUCGGAUGUUUCGUGCUUAUGAAAGCCCUAUUGUAGUUUGGUAAAGAUGGUUUAUGCCAUCAUCAUGAUUAUUGGCUAUUUAUUGACAAAUUGAGGAACUGGCCGUCCUUGAUCUCUUGUUAAUAAGUAUAUGAAAAUCGUGUUGAUUGGAUGAGACUAAUUUUGUCAAACUCUGGUAGUGUAUAUGGUUUUGAGUGUUUUGUUGAAAAAUCAAAUGGAGGAGUCUUAUCUGGAGUUGUUUUAGCCGGACAAUUUUCGAGGGCGAAAAUUCUUUAAGUGGGGGAGAGUUGUAACAUCCCGAUUUUAUUAAUAAGUCAUUUAUUAAUUUAUUUGUGUUUAUUUAAUUAUGUGGCGUAUAACUUUCGUAAGUUAGUAUUUAUGAGUUUUAACCGGUUUUAAUUAAUUAGUGAGUUUAUGUGAAUUGGGCCUAAAUGGUGAUGAGAUGAGUAGAAUGAGGGGGUGCUAAUUGGAAAACAAACCCUUUGUAUUAAGCAAACUUUAUCUAUUAAAUAAAAAACCAUUUAUCACAAAAAAGAAAAAAAAAACAAGAAGAAAAGAAUAGAAAAGAGGUAGAACGAGGAAGAGAAAAGAGAAAAAGAAAGAAAAAGAACAAACUUAGAGAAGGAGAAAAAUCAAGAGAAGGACCAAAGAUUCCAACUAUUGUUAAGAUCCUCAGGUUGUGUAUGUUUGUCGGUGUUCGAGUUGUUGGUGAAGCUCCGCUCUGAUUGUGACACGGAAAAAGGGUUCAUAGAGUCUUUUACUGUUGUUGUCUUAUUUAAUUUAAAGAUGUAUUAGGAAAAAUAUUUUUGUAUAAGUGAUGUUUUACUAAUUAAUUUAAUUAGUAUUGUUUUAACGAAGAAUGUAACACCUUGAACCAAUAUUUUAUAAAUUCAUUUCGACUUAGAGUCUUAAAGUUA